UACAAGCUACUGUAUGGUGGAAAUACU
rnacentral:sRNA from 1 species